rnacentral:lncRNA from 1 species
CCCACCACUACUUUACUUUUCCCCCACCACACUAGUGCACCACCAACUCCAUUAUCUUUUGCUCCCCACCAAAUCCUUCUCCCUUCUUACUCAAUAGAUCGCCAGUGGAGCUGUUUAAGAAAAUCCAAUUCGUAUAUUCCAACAGAAUGUUUACAGCAAGCUCAUGCCAACAUCAAAACCAAGUUUCACACAGAAAAAAAACACCCGAAAUAACAUCUAUAAUCUCCGAGAUCUCCUUAUUCAAACAGUAUAUGCCAACAAAUUUUCACCAAGAAGAAGAAAACAGAUCAGCCAAUCAAGCACAAAUAGACAAGGUAAACACUAGGCUCAGCUCAUUCAAUCCAUUCGUUUUUCAUCCAACAAGCAUGAUCGAUUAAAGGAUAGUAAGCAUACAAUGAGUAUAUUCAUAAAGAGACUUAGCAAACUCAUAUGAUCUUUAGGCAGAAAUCAGUUUAUGCUAUAUUUUCUUAUCACACGAGGCAAGCAAGGAAAUUUCUUGAUACAUUAGUAAACCACGAACUUAGUUUUAUCUCUUGCAUAAUCAAUUAUAGAAAUACCAUAAUUCAAUAGAAAAAGGGAGAGAGUGAGGCUUGAGCCGGUUCUUGAGCAGAGGACAGAUUUCAGCGGCAUCUCCUGCUGCCUCGGCGGAAAUUGCGUGACAACAGCAGCAGCGUCACGAACGAAACAACGGCGCUGAAUCGCUGAUCUUCCACAAACGGUGGAGAUGGCGGCAGAACCAUGGCGGCUGAACAACUGAGGAAGAUAAAGCUGGCGCCGAUCAAUUAUGAGAGAGGUCGAGGAGAUAAACCAACUUUCAGAUUCGAGCAGCAACCGCUUGCCGACGAACGAGAGAGCCGGAGAUCGCAGCGGCGACGGCGAGUUCUGACUUUGAAAAGUUAGGGCUCGGUUCGAUUUGAUAGAUUUGGGGUAAAUCAAGAGGGAGAGGGAGAACCUAGGCGAUGAGGCGUCUAAAGUUGAGACGAGGGGAAGGAGAGGAGGCCGACGGGCUCCAGGCCGGAGCAACGCCGCUCCCAGACGGCGACCGGUCGCCCAAUUUCGAAAGGGUAGCAGCAGCAGCAGCGCUGAUUCCUUGAGAAUCAGGGCUCGAUGUUGGGGGAGGAAAGAGGACGGCGCCGGGGCUGAGACGCGUCGACAGAUGACGCCGGCCGAAGCAAGUGAUGGCUGAACGGCCGGAGGAGGCGCAGCCGGCCAGAUUUAGCCGGAGGAGAAGAGGUCGAUCGGCCUUGAGAAAGAAAGAGGGAUGAGCGGCUCCUUGAGUUGGGAUAAGAGAGAGCGAGAAGAAGAACAGGGCCGAGAGUGAGAGAGAGGAGUUGGGCUUGAUGUUAUUUUAAUGACUUGGGCUUCAUUAUUAUUUACUUUGGGCCUCUUUUAUUAAUUCAAUUGGGCUUUAGUUAUUUAAUUUAAGUUGGGCCUAAUUUAUUUUUAUUCUACAAAUGGGCCUUCGAUUUUUAAUUCUUUUGGAGCUUGUUUAUUUUAAGUAAAUUGGGCUUUGUCUUUUAAUUCUUUGGGCUGUUGUACCAUAUCAGCUGGGCCGAGUUUAUUUAAUUUUAAGCUCAGA